GACGAACGCUGGCGGCGUGCCUAAUACAUGCAAGUCGAACGCAGUUGGGACGGGUGAGUAACCCGUGGGUAACCUCCCAUCAGAGGGGAUAACACUUGGAAACAGGUGCUAAACCGAUACUGAUGGAUGGACCCGCGUGGCAUUAGCUAGUUGGGGAGUUAACGGCUCACCAAGGCGAAGAUGCAUAGCCGACCGGAGAGGGGGAUCGGCCACACGGGAACGGAGACCAGGCCCAGACGCCGACGGGAGGCAGCAGUAGGGAAGCUUCGGCAAUGGACGAAAGUCUGACCGAGCAACGCCGCGUGAGUGAAGAAGGUUUUCGGAUCGUAAAGCUCUGUUGUUAGAGAAGCGGUAUCUAACCAGAAAGCCACGGCUAACUACGUGCCAGCCGCCGCGGUAAUAC
rnacentral:rRNA from 1 species